rnacentral:rRNA from 1 species
AGAGUUUUGAUCCUGGCUCAGAACGAACGCUGGCGGCGUGGAUAAGACAUGCAAGUCGAACGGAAAUAUUGAAUAGCUUGCUAAUUGGUAUUUUAGUGGCGGACGGGUUAGUAACACGUGAGAAACUUACCCUCAAGACAGGAAUAGCCCAUGGAAACGUGGAAUAAUGCCUGAUGGUCUCUACGGAGUAAAGGAUGCCUUCGGGUAUCGCUUGAGGAUAGGCUCGCGUCCUAUCAGCUAGUUGGUGAGGUAAAGGCUCACCAAGGCGACGACGGGUAGCUGGUCUGAGAGGACGAUCAGCAACACUGGAACUGAGACACGGUCCAGACACCUACGGGUGGCAGCAGUCGAGAAUCAUUCACAAUGGGGGCAACCCUGAUGGUGCAACGCCGCGUGGAGGAUGACGGUCCUAGGAUUGUAAACUCCUGUCAUUGGGGAGUAAGACUUGGUUGUUAAUAGCCUCCAAGUUUGAUAGUACCCAAAGAGGAAGGGACGGCUAACUUCGUGCCAGCAGCCGCGGUAAUACGAAGGUCCCAAGCGUUGUUCGGAAUCACUGGGCGUAAAGCGUGUGCAGGCUGCGCGGAAAGUCAAAUGUGAAAGCCCGGGGCUUAACCCCGGAACUGCAUUCGAUACUCCCGUGCUAGAGUAAUGGAGAGGUAAGUGGAAUUCCCGGUGUAGCAGUGAAAUGCGUAGAUAUCGGGAGGAACAUCAAUGGCGAAGGCAACUUACUGGACAUUUACUGACGCUCAGACACGAAGGCUAGGGGAGCGAAAGGGAUUAGAUACCCCUGUAGUCCUGGCAGUAAACGGUGCUCGCUUGGUGUGGGAGGAUUCGACCCCUUCUGUGCCGGAGCUAACGCGUAAGCAGCCGCCU